CUUGCUGAGCAUGCUCCAGCCGCGCAGGUGCGUGGAGCCAAGGUCCCCGGCGAGGGUCUGGAGGGGCUGCUUGCUUCAGGCAGUAGCCUGGUGGGAUCCAUGGCAUCGGCCUGUUUCCAAGGGCCAAUCCACACAAAUGCGUAUGUUCCCCCUGAAGGCAGCGCCGAGGGACCUGGGAGCCUUGCGAGGCCUGACUGCCGCGCCCUGACCAUGGUAUCCUCAACGAGCGGCACCUGGGAGCCUUGCUGGCUGCAGAAACCCGGGCCUUCCGAACAGUUCCAGAAUUUCUCACCACCACCACCGCUGGAGAGAAUGGUGGACUUUGCUGGACAGACGGCUCGUGCAGUGUGCGUGGCUGAUGGACACAGGGCUGUUGAGAGCACAUUACCUGCAUAGGACACCGGCGCUCUGUGCUGGCUCCCUGGCGCAUGGGCGUCAGCCCCAUAGAAGCCGUGUCUGGAAUUCCUGCUGGACGUCUAGUGCUUGGAGAGCCCGAGGACCUAGCUGUGCACCUAGGUCACUCCAAAUAAGGUGGUUAUCGUGUCAUUCUGAAGCUUUUGCACAAGUGCUCCCUCCUCAAGGGGACUCAGGUGAGGACAGACCCAGACUCCAGGAUACGGAUCUCCAAUGAUUGGAGACCGUUGACCUGCGUGCGGAUUCACAGAGCUCUGAGGGAGAGCCUGACGGCUUCAGGAAACCAUGACAAAGAGCAAGAGCGACUACACUUCCUUACCUGGGCCUAAUGCGUCCAGAGUCAGCAGCUCUGAGUAUUCUUCUUGGCCACGUAUUUGCAGAAGUCCAUGGAGAAUCUGUUCUGCUUGUAACGGACACAGUGGGCAACACGGACGACGUUACCAAGGCUUUGACUAGAAUGAUCUGCAUCAACUCAGAACUGAGGUGGACUUUACGGAGCCAGUAAAGCCCCUGGGAAAUGUCAGCCUGAUGCCUUGCUUACAGAGUCCCAGGGCCUUACCAGGGGAUCAGUGGGGAUGGGUAGGGUGGAGGGACUGGGAGCAGAUUCAUCCAACCAGGGCACAGAAAACAAGCCACGGUGUAAAGCUAGAUUAGAAGGGAAUGAUCCUAGAGCACCUGCCCAAUGGUGGGGGACCUGCUGUAAUGCUCUCUGGAGUCAGAGGUGCUGGCCCUCACCAUGGUUUCCAUUCUCCCUUCACCUUGCUAAUGCAGAUGGGGGGGGGGGGCGCUGGGCUUCCUUGCCAGCCUGCUGCCUUAGCAAGCCCUGGGCCCCUAGCUGACCCCAGCCAAGCCAGCAAGGCAACCCCAGGCAGCACACAGCAGACACUCCCCAAUACAGCUCCAGCUGUCUCUCCAGGGUGACACGGGCACAAAGCACCCUGGGAGCUGCCUGUACCUGUCUCCACUCCACACAACUUUCCAGGAAACCCCCUAUGUGGAGUACCCCAGGACAUCCGGGUCCACACCCGCUUUGGCUCGUGCCAUCCAUCCCAUCAUGAAAGCCCCUGUGCAGCACCUUGGGUCCCCAUGCAGCCCAUGGCACUUCAGCUCCAGGCGUCCUGCUAGGGUGCCCCCUGCACUGAAUGUACUGGGACUUCCUGGGCUGUAGCAACCUUACCUCUACCUGUUGACAGCAGAGCACCUUCUGCAUGGAGCACCCAGGGAUCCCCUGGCCCACUCCCACUUCAGCUCCAGCUGUCCCAGCAGGGUGGCCCUGGGUUGGAGUGCACUGAGACCCACAGCCUCUACCCACCAUGGUCCCAGCCAGCUAGCCAGCCAAAGCCACCAGGCACAGGCAGUCCACACAGGGAAUGUUCCUAUAUAAGACCAUUCCUUCAAGAUAAGGAGAUACAGCUGUUCCACCUACUUUACAGAAACACAAAAUGAGGAGACAGGAAUAUGCUCCCAAUGAAAGAACAAGACAAAGCUUCAGAAAAACCACCAUGUGAAACAGAGAUAAGCAAUCUACCCGAUAAAGACUUCAAAGUAGAGGUCAUAAGGUGCUCACUGGACUUGAGAGAACUAGAUGAGCUCAGUGAGAAUUUCCAGAGAGAGAGCAAAUAUAAGAAAGAAUCAGAGUUGAAUACAGUAACUGCAAUGAAGAGUACAUGUGAGGGAAUCAACAGAUUAGAGGAUACAGAAGGAUCAAUAAUCUGGAAGACAGGGUCAUGGAAAGCACUCUGAGCAGCAGAGAGGGAAGGAAGGAAGAUGUGCAUAAAUAAAAAGAUAGGUUAAGAAAGGUCUGGGACAACAUCAAAUAUACCAACAUUCAUAUUAUAAGGGUCCCAGAAGAAGAGGAGAAAGGGGCAGAAAAGUUACUUGAAAAGAUAAUAGCCAAAAACUUCCCUAACCUGGGAAAAGAGACAGAGAUCCAAGAUCAAGAAGCAGAGAGAGCCCCAAAGAAGAUGAACCCUAGGAAGUCCAACCAAGACAGAUAAUAAUCCAGAUGUCAAAGAUUAAAGAUAAUGACAAUCUUAAAAGCAGCAGAAGGAAAACAACUAGUUGCCCACAAGGGAAACCCCAAAAGGCAAUCAGCCAGUUUUUCAGCAGAAACUUUGAAUAGAUCACCACUCCCUCUUGCCUGCAAAGUGCUGAAGGGAAAAACUUAUAACCAAGUAUACUAUAUCACUUAGAACUGAAGAAAAGAGAAAGCAUAUCCCAGACAAGCAAAAGUUGAAGGAGUUCAUCACCACUGAACUAGAGUUACAAGAAAUGUCAACAGGACUUCCUGAAGUAGCAAAGGAAAGGCUAUAAUUAGAAGGAAAUUAUGAAAGGCAAAUUGUCAGGAAAAGCAAACAUACACUAAAGGCAGUGAAUCAAGCACUUAUAAAGCUAGUAUGAAAGUUAAAAGAUAAAGAACUCACAAAAUCAAAGAUGUGAAACAUGACAUCAUAGACAUAUAACAUGAAAGGGGGAACAAAAAUGUAGGGCUCUCAGAAUGUGUUUGAACUUAAGCGACCACCAGCUUUAUAUAGAUUGCUGUAUAGUUAGGAUGUUAUAUAUGAACUUCAUGGUAGCCACAAACCAAAAACCUGUAACUGAUACACAAAAAAUGAACGGAAAGGUCCAAGCAUAACACUAAACAAAGUCAUCAAUUGUAAAGGACGAGAACAAGAAGAAAGGAAAAGAACCACAAACCCAACCAGAGGGAAUUUAACAAGAUGGCAAUAAGCACAUACGUAUCACUAAUUACCUUAAAUGCAAAUGGCAUAAAUACUCCAAAAAAGAGAGGGUGACUGAAUGGAUUAAAAAACAAGACCCAUCCAUGUGCUGUUUACAAGAGACUCACUUCAGACCUAAAGACACAUGCAGACUGAAAGUAAAAGGAUGGAAAGAGAUCUAUGCAAAGAGAAGCGCGCGCACACACACACACACACAAAUCCAGCGUAGCAAUCCUUCUGUCAGAAAAAAAAGACUUAAAAUCUGUAACCAGAGACUUAGAAAGGCAUUACCUAGUGAUAAAGGGAUCAAUCCAACAAGAGAAUAGGACAGUUUCUAAGUUAUCUGUGCACCCGGCACAGAAACACCCAAGUACACAAGUUAUUCACUGAUAUUAGCAGGCAUAAAGGGAGAUGUCCACGGUGAUACGGUAGCAGGAGAGGAUUGUAACACCCCACUUACCUCUGUGGACAGAUCAGCCAGACAGGAAGAUGCAUUGACCUUGACAACACACGAGUCCAGAUGGACAUAACAGAUACACACAGAACAAUCUGUCCCAGACAGCAGAAUACACAUUCAUCUCAAGUGCAUGUGGAGCGUUCUCUGGAGUUGAUCACAGGUUGGGCCACAAACCAAGUCUCAGCAAACUGAAGACUGAAAUCUCAUCAAGCAUCUUUUUAAACCACAUGAAACUAGAAAUUGGUGACAAGAAAAAAAUGGAAAAAACACAUGUGGAGGCUAAACACAUGCUACUAAAUAACAAAUGUAUCUUCAAAGAAUAAACUUAAAUACCUGGAGACAAAUGAAAAUGCAAACACAACAUCGUAAAAUCUUUGGGAAGCAGCAGAAGUUGUAAGAGGGAAGUGUGUAGUGAUACCAGCCUCCCUCUAGAAACAAGAAAAAUCUCAAAUAAUCUAACCUCAUGCCUCAAGGAACUAGAAGAACAACAACAAACAAGGCCCAAAGUUGGCAGAAGGGAGGAAAUAGUAAAGAUCAGAGUGAAAAGAAAUUAAAUAGAGACUAAAAAACCAGAAAAGAUAAAUAAAAUGAAGAGCUGGUUCUUUGAAAAGAAACAAAAUUGAUAAACAUUUAGCUAGACUCAUUAUGAAAAAAAAUUCAAAUAAAAUUAGAAAUAAGAGAAAUAACAGCACAGAAACACAAAAGAUUAUGAGAGACUGUCAUGAAAAAUUACACACCAACAAACUAGAUAACCCAGAAGAAAUAGAUAAAUUGCUAGAAACAUCCCAUCUUCCAAAACUGAAUCAGGAAGAAUUAGCAAAUCUGAACAGACCAAUUACUAGUAACAAAAUUGAAUCAGUAACCAAAAAAACCAAAAAAACCUCCCAACAAACAAAAGUCCAGGACCAGAUGGUUUCACAGGUGAGUUUUACCAAACCUUGAAACAAGAGUUAAGAACUAUUCUUCUCAAACCAAUUCAAAAGCAGAAAAAGAAGGAAAACUUUCAGAUUCAUUCUAUGAGGCCAGCAUUACCAUUUUACCAAAACCAGAAAAAGACACUACAAAAAAGGAGAACUACAGGCCAGUAUCCCUGAUGAACAUAGAUGCAAAAAUACCCCUCAACAAACUAUUUGCAAACCAAGUUCAACAAUACAUUAGAAGGAUUAUUCACCAGAGUGAAGUGGGAUUCAUUCCAGAGAUGAAAGAUGGUUCAAUGCUGGAAUCAUGGUGACACAUCACAUUAACAAAAUGAAGGAUAAAAACCAUGUGUUCAUCUCAACAGAUGCAGAAAAAGCAUUUGACAACAUCUGUUCAUAAUAAAACCCUCAACAAAGUGGCAAUGGAGGAAACAUACCUCAAAUGAUAAAGGCCAUAUUGCAGCAACCCUGAGCGCCCAUCAGAGUCAACGGUGAAAAACCGAGAAUUUUCCUCUAAGAUCAGGGACAAGACAAGGAUGCCCACUGGUGCCACUUUUGUUCACCAUGGUACUGGAAGACCUAGCCCUGGUAACCAGACAAGAAAAAGAGAUAAAAGGCAUCUAGAUUGGUAAGGAAGAGGUAAAACUGUCCCUAUUUGCAAACAGCAUGAUAUUACAAGUAGAAAACCUUGAAGACUCCACCAAGAAUCUAUUACAACCAAUAAAUGAAGUCAGGAAAAUCAUAGGAUACUAAGUUAAUAUACAGAAGUGUGUUGUUUCUAUACACUGAUAUCAAAGUAGCAGAAAGAGAAAUUAAGAAAACAAUCCCAUUUGUGAUUGUAUCCAAAGGAAUAAAAUACCUAGGAAUAAAUUUAACCAGGGAAAUGAAACACUUGUACUCUGAAAACUAUAAAAUAUGGAUGAAAGACAUUGAAGACGACACUAACAGAUAGAAAGCUACACUAAGCUCAUGGAAUGGAAGAAUUAAUGUUGUUAAAAUGUCCACACUACUCCAAGGAGUCUCCACAUUCAAUGCAAUCCCUAUGAAAAUAUCUCUAGUAUUUUUCACAGAACGAGAACAAGUAAUCCUAAAAUGUGUAUGGAACCACAAAGACCCUGCACAGCCAAAGCAAUCCCAGAUUUCAAGAUAUAUCAUGAAGCUGUAGUGAUCAAAGCAGUAUGGGGCUGACACAAAAACAGACCUAGAUCAAUGGAGCAGGACAGAGAGCCCAGAAAUACACCCAGGCUUUUAUGGUCAAUUUAUCUAUGACAAAGGAGGCCAGGAUAUGCAGUGGGGAGAAGACAGUCUCUUCGAUACAGGGUGCUGGGAAAAGUGGACAGCCACAUGCAAAAGACUGAAAUGGGACCAUGUGCUUACACCAUCCACAAAAAUGAACUCAAAAUGGAUUAAAGACCCCAGUGUGAGGGCGCCUGGGUGGUUCAGUUGGUUAAGCAACUGCCUUCGGCUCAGGUCAUGAUCCUGGAGUCCCUGUAUCGAGUCCCGCAUCGGGCUCCCUGCUCGGCAGGGAGUCUGCUUCUCCCUCUGACCCUACCCCCUCUCAUGUGCUCGCUCUCAUUCUCUCUCUCUCAAAUAAAUAAAUAAAAUCUUAAAAAAAAAAAAAAAAGACCCAGGUGUGAGCCCUAAAGCCAUAAAACUCCUAAGAAAAAAGAGGUAAAACCUUGCACAUCAGCCUUAGCAACACCCUUCUCAUGUGUAAAAUAAACAAAAGCAAAAUAGACUAUAGAGACUACACCAAACUGGAAAGGUUUGCUCAGUGAAGGAAACCAUCAACAAAAUAAAAAUGAAUGGGAGAAGAUAUUUGCAGAUGACAUAUCCAUAAAGGGUUAGUAUCCAAAUAUACAAAGAACUACAACUACACACACACACACACACACAGAAAUCCCACCAAAUAAUCACCCAAUUUUUAAAAAGGUAAAGGCCCUGAGUAGACACUUUUCCCAAAGAAGACACAGAGAAAUGGCCAACAGCCACAUGAAAAAAACACUCAACAUCACUCAUCAUCAUCAGGAAAACUGAAAUCAAAAGCAUAAUGAGAUAUCACCUCCUACCUCUCAGAAUGGAUAGUGUCAGACAGACAAGAGAUGGCAAGUGUUGGCGGGGAUGCGGAGAAAGGGGAACCCUUGUGCACUGUUGGUGGGAAUGCAAACUGGUGCAACCACUGAGGAACACAGUAUGGAGGUUCCUCAAAAAGUUAAAAAUAGAACUACUGGAUCGUAUGGAAUUUCUGCGAUGGUAUUUACCCAAAGAAAAAGAAAACACUAAUUCAAAAAGAUAUAUGAACCCCUAUGCUCAUUGCAACACUAUUUACAAUAGCCAAGAUAUAAAAGUGACCUACACGUCCAAUGACAGAUGAAUGGAUAAAGAUGUAAUAUAUAUACACAAUGAAAUAGUACUCUGCCAUAAAAAAGAAAGAAAUCUUGCGAUUUGUAACAACACAGAUAGACCUACAGGGCUUUAUGCUAAGUGAAAUAAGUUGGAUAGAGGAAAACAAAACCAUACAGAUUUACUUGUAUAUGGUAUCUAAAACACAAAAGAAAAUAAACCCAAACCCAAAUCAGACUCAUAAAGAGAAUAAACUGUUGCAUGCAGAAGGAAGGGGGUGGGACUAUAUGCCAAAUAGGGGAAGAGGAUUAAGAGGUACAACGUUCCAGUUAUAAAAUAAGUGAGUCGUAGGGAGGAAAGGUACAGCAUAGAGAAUAUAGUCAGUGACAUUGUAAUAAUAGUAUAUGGUGACAGAUGUUAAUGACACUUAUCAUGGUAUUGCAUAUUGUGUAGACUUGUUGAAUCACUAUAUUGUACAACAGAAACUAAAGUAAUAUUGUGUAUCAACUGUACUUCAAAAAUAAAAUUUUCAAUAACUUCAAUCUGUGAUUCCUUAUGAAAAGUUCCAGCAAAACAGAUUUAAAAGAUUCUAUAUGGUCAAUUGCUAUUCU